UUAUAUUCAUGCAUAAUUCAUGACCCAAGUCUGAACCAAAAGGAUGAGAAUAGAGGCUUCUUACAUUUUUUCUUCCAAGGAUUAAGCUGAUAUAUAAAAAAGCUAGAUCCGAUUCAAUCUUGAUGAUGAUUUAUCUAAGUUCAUAUUUCGAAAGAAUAUUAUAUUUGAUAUUGUUUUUCGAUUUAUGACAAUUAAGAAUAUUUCAGAAUCAGCACGACAAUCUAUCAUGAGUGGGGAAGAAAAUACUAAGAGGACAAGCAUAUCUCAUCCAACAAGAUAAGGCUAACAAACCAAUUCUUCUUUCUUCUCAUGAAUUUUUAGCUUUUAUAUGAAAAUAGAGGUCUAUAAAGAUUCCAAGAUAUGAAAUCAUUUCUCUUCCAACAUAUUCACUUCUUUUUAUCUGCUUUAGAUUUCUGAUUUGAGCAUCGGAGAAUCCUCCGUCAGAAUCAAUUCUGGUUAAGGACUUAUUCUGUAGGUCCUGCUAUUACUGUCCUACCAUCAUUGUCUUGCAGUUGUCAUACAGCUCUAGUUAAGUCGAUCCAAGAUAGAAAUCUACAGCAACAGAUUGGUACUAGAGGAAGGAUUUAGGUUCUUUUUAUGGAAAAGAGCAAGCAUCCAAUCAAAGAUACUUCGUUACAUCGCUCCAACACCACCAAGUUCUUAAAGACUAGAUGAUUCUAAAUGUCUGCUAAAUCCGAUCAUCUCUAGAUCAGCCAGACGUUAAUCAUAUCCAGACUGACCAUCUCCAAAUCGGUCAAAUAUCGAUCAGAUCUGUCCGCCUCCAAAUUGGUCAGAUGUCAAUCAGGAUAAAGGGAGCUUAGCCAAAAAAAUCUCGUAGGCGAUCCAUGGGUUGGUGAAUGAUGCCAACUUCAACUGCUCGGCCAUCGAUCUUUGAUCAUUCUACUUCGAUCAGGCAUCAAUCACAUUGGAGGUCCACAAGUCUUUGAGUAUCUGAACUGAGGUAAAGACCAAGACCAACCAGAGGUGAAAAUCAAAAUGGAAGCCAAGCAAUGAAGCCUAAAAUCAAGUUAAGGUGAAGAUUAAAAUCAAGAUCGAGUCACUAAGCCUAAGAUUGAGGUAAAGAUAAAGCCAAAACAAAGAUUAGGACAGAGCCAAAGUAAAGGCCAAAAUUGAGCCGAGGCAAAGAUCAUGCUCGAGCCAAGGUGAAAAUCAAAAUCAAAGCCGAGCUAUGAAGGUCAAGAUCGGGCCAAGAUGAAGAUCAAAAUCGAGGUCGAGCCACUAAGUCUUGUUAAUCUUAUGAAUGAUUUUGAUGAUUAUCAAAUUUUGAGUAAUUAUAAUUCUAAUCAUGUGUUUCAAGGUUGGAUAUAGAUUUUUCUAGAUUUUAUCAUUGGAAAAGGUCCUCCCAAAAGAAGCUAAGUCAAGAAAUUCAAAGAAGAAUUUUCAAGUUUCAAGCUGAUCAGGAGUCGACCCUAAGGUAGAGGAGUCAACUCUGACACACUAAAAUAGGACCAGCAUGAUUCUGAGUCGACUCAUGAACAGUAGGAGUCGACUCUCAAAGAAAAUAGAGAACUAUAUUCAGGAUUCUUAAUUUGAGUCGACUCAUGAAGAUAGUGAGCUGACUGUUAGGAAAGACAGAAUACAGAAAUUUUCAGACCUAAGGCCAAGUCGACUCAUGUAGAGGUUCCGUCGACUCGUGGGCAGCUCGAAUCGAUCUUUGAGGAAUUAGAGUUGAUCCUUGGCAUAGAAACAGCAAUAAUGGCUAAUUUUCUACACUUUCUAAUGGCUAUUUCUCCACUCUAAUGACUAGUUCAAGCCUCCCAAUGAUCAAAAAUUUUUUUUCCAGCCACUUUUAAGUUUACAAAAGAUAAGAGAAUCAAUUGGAAAGUAAGUUUAAGGGGAACUAAAGAAGAAAAUACUUCAUCUAUUGAGUGUAUAUUGAAUAUCGUUGGAAAAGAAGUAAAGAGAGGGAUUUAUGCAUUGAAUUCAGAGAGCUUUCAAGAGAGAUCAUCUUCAACCUCUUUCAUACCCUCUCAAGCUUCAAAUAAAAGAAGUUCAAAAACAUCGAAAGAGCAAAUCAUUAGCAUCUUCUCAAUGCUUCAAAGAGUUUAUUUUUCAAUUUUAUUUUAUCCUAAAAUUUCAUAUCUUAUAUUCUUGUUUUCUUUUUAAGUUUCUUUGGAGAUAAGAAAUUUGGGGUUACAUCCAUGCAAGUUUGAAAUUGGACAUUGUAAAUUUUGGUUGGUGAGCUUAUAAAACUAACUAGAUUCAUUAUGAAUCUAAAAAAUAGUCAGUAUAUAGGUUGUGGUUAGUGAGCUCGUAAAACCAACUAAAUUUAUUUGUAAUCUCAGAUAAAACAAACAUGUUAUAAUCGAAAAGAUUAUAGUAAAAUUUUUAAGAAAAACUUGAGAAGUGGAUAUAGGUACGGGAUUACACCAAACUACUAUAAAAUUUACGUUAUUUAUAUUGUGUCUUCUUGUACUUAUUUUACUUGCUUUUAAAUUUUAGUCUUGCAUUGUUUAAAUUCUUAGUUUGCAUUCAUUAUCUUAAUUUUGUUGUACCUUAAAGCAUACACCACAUAAUCACUUAAGUUCUCUUAAAUUAUAAUAUAUACUUUCUUAGAUUUUGCAUUUGCUUGAAAUUUUUAAAAAAUUCAAUUCACUCCUUCUCUUGGGUUGCUAUCUUUCUGAACAAUAAUUGAUAUUAGAGCAGGUACUCUAAUAUUAUUUAUUGAUCAAGUGGUCUAGAGCCAAAGGUCAUGGCAACUCUGAUUGGUUCCUUGUUUGCCAAAAGAUAAUUAACUUCGAGACCGCCACUAUUCAAUGGUAUUAAUUAUAUUUUUUGAAAAGCUAAAAUGAGAAUAUUUAUACAAGCUUUAGAUUAUGAUAUAUAAGAAAUCAUUGAAGGAAGAAUCUGAUCCAUAUCGGAUGACCAAAAAGAAGGAGAAUAGAUUUCAAAUUAAUUUCUUUUUCAUAACUUUUAUGAAACAUACCUUGAGGCGCAGUGGCAAGAUGAUCAAGGUUGUUAGAUUUUAGAAAUUAGUUGUUUUGCGAGAUCUGGAUGCACAAAUCCUCUACUUCACAUGCACGCCAAGCACCAUAGGAGAGAGGGAUGAAGACUUGUAGAUAUUCUUCUUAAA